rnacentral:rRNA from 1 species
UACGGAGGAUGCAGGCGUUAUCCGGAUUUAUUAGGUUUAAAGGGUGCGUAGGCGGGCGAAUAAGUCAGUGGUGAAAUACUGCCGCUUAACGGUAGCAUUGCCAUAGAUACUGUUUGUCUUGAGUAUAGUUGAGGUGGGCGGAAUGUGUCAAGUAGCGGUGAAAUGCAUAGAUAUGACACAGAACACCGAUUGCGGAGGCAGCUCACUAAGCUAUUACUGACGCUGAUGCACGAAAGCGUGGGGAUCAAACAGGAUUAGAUACCCUGGUAGUCCACGCUGUAAACGAUGAUAACUCGUUGUUCGCGAUAUACAGUGAGCGACUGAGCGAAAGCAUUAAGUUAUCCACCUGGGGAGUACGACGGCAACGUUGAA